rnacentral:rRNA from 1 species
AUUGAACGCUGGCGGCAGGCUUAACACAUGCAAGUCGAGCGGAGUGAUGGUGCUUGCACUAUCACUUAGCGGCGGACGGGUGAGUAAUGCUUAGGAAUCUGCCUAUUAGUGGGGGACAACAUCUCGAAAGGGAUGCUAAUACCGCAUACGUCCUACGGGAGAAAGCAGGGGAUCACUUGUGACCUUGCGCUAAUAGAUGAGCCUAAGUCGGAUUAGCUAGUUGGUGGGGUAAAGGCCUACCAAGGCGACGAUCUGUAGCGGGUCUGAGAGGAUGAUCCGCCAAACUGGGACUGAGACACGGCCCAGACUCCUACGGGAGGCAGCAGUGGGGAAUAUUGGACAAUGGGGGGAACCCUGAUCCAGCCAUGCCGCGUGUGUGAAGAAGGCCUUAUGGUUGUAAAGCACUCUAAGCGAGGAGGAGGCUCUUUUGGUUAAUAUCCAAGAUGAGUGGACGUUACUCGCAGAAUAAGCACCGGCUAACUCUGUGCCAGCCGCCGCCGUAAGAC